CUAAAGGGGGAAUUGUAGGAAGAUACCGUAACCACACCUCCUAAGGGCUGGCUACAGGUGUGGUCAAGGUGAGGUCAGAGUGACGCGGCAUGGGCUCUUAAGGGACCACGAGCACAUGGAACACCGCUUCCCCUUCGGCUGGCCCUUCUCUCUGACCUCCCUGCCUUGCUGCCCCUGGGCAUGCUCUGGCUUGCGUUUGGCUGGUAUUUAUCUGAAUAAAGGUAUCUUGAAUCUACAAGUGUUUCCCUUCAAAGAAGAGCUUGAGUAUGUGUGUUCAGAAGUGACUACCAUGAGGGUGGAGAGCAACCACCUAUCCAGCAAAACCAAAGCCUUGGCCUAGACAGGAAUACAGAAGAGGGACCACAGCAACCUUCAUGGAGGGAUCGCUUGAAAUGUUUUCCUUCCUUGGUGGCUGGCAGCUAGGUGCUCCCUAUGGGACGCAGUUCACACAUUGACAUCACCCUCCCAAAGCACUGAGCCAAUUCCAUCUGAUCACAGCCUUCAACAGUGAGGAAAUUCAUCCGCCUCCCACACCACUGCCAACUGUAGGUUCAUCUUUAUCUUCACCACUCCUUAGAUGGAAGAAAAACACUUCCUACCAUGCUUGCUGAGAAGCACAAUGAUCAAUCAUCCAUCUCAUUUUCAGUGUGCACAUAUGGGACACAAGUGCUAUGUGAUGAACUGGAAAGGAGAUUUGUAGCCAGAGACUGAAUGCAUAGACUUCUACCUCCUCUGCCUACAGCAGUCCAACAGGCAAGUCAAAGAUGGGGACAUGGACCACUGGACUGCAAGGAGGGUUAAGAGAGAUGAAUAACUGCUUCUGCAAGACUGAGGAUGACAGAGGCUAUGUGGAAACAGCCCAAUGCUGUCCCAUUUUUUUAAUUUUUUUCCUUAGUUUAGAACUGUCACCUUUCAAACUUAAAGAUGCACAUUAAUAGUCAGGCUCUUGGGUCACUCAGGGGAUUUUAGAACAAAAAGGGCCAUAUGCUGAAACCAGAGUCGAGUUCCUAGAAAACAUUAGAGGAACCAAAGACCAGUAUGCUCUCCCCAAACUUCUUAUGUCUCCUUACACUGAGUGCAUGACUGAAAGAGAAGAGUUUCUGGAAAUAUCUCAGGACACAUUUGGACAUUGUGGAUUGGAUCCCAUGGGAGUUAACAAUGAACCUACUGCCCUAAGAUGCCGCAGUGUGUUCACUUUGUGCUUAGGAUGGAGAAUAUCAGCUUCAACAGCUCCAAAAUGGAUACAUGCAAAACAGUUGGAGAAGCAAGGGUUUCCUGCUACAGCAAUGAGAGCUUUGGUGUCCCGUUGAUUAUGGAAAGGCUCUGAUCAUGACAGGCCUCAGAUGUCUGUACUUCCUUGGUUUUCACCAUUGAUGAUGCAGUCUGUCAAUGGCAACUCUCCACUUGUUUUCUGCCAUGUACUGGAUUGAGCCAUUCUGCUGACGAACAACUCCAGCUGCUUUUAAGGAAAACAUCAUCCCAUUUUAUUCUUACACAACACAUAAUUAACAUUCUAGGACAUGAACUUGUGUGAGCCAUAGCCUCACCAGUGUUGACUGAGUUCCUUCCAUGUACUAGGCAGACGCUGGACAUUGGAAAAAUAAGUCCUUGUUCUUUGUGAAUCCCAGUCAGAGUAGGUGUCAAGGAAAUAAAUUAAGCAUUUAACCAUAUGAGAGGACAUCUGUGUACAACAAAACAGUCUGAUAAUCCUGGUGUGGGUGUCGGCAUCUCCACCUGGGAGACAGAGAAAAAGACAUUUGAACAAAACUUUGUAAUAGUGAAUGAUAAGAAUAUAAUACUCUCUCUAGAAUUCUCCAUGUAUAGAACCCAGUAUCAGGUUACUAAAGGUAAAGCAUUUUCAUUUUCGUUGUUAGUGUUUAGUUUGUUUUCUUCUUAUCUUUCCUUUUUAGUUUGCUUGUUUUGACUUCAUUUUUCUGAGUAACACCUAAGAAAGCUGUAAAUUAUUUCUUAGUCAGUCUUACCUUGCCCUUGAGUUUAGUUGAGGUCAAGUUAAAAACAUUUCUCAUCUCAUUCUCUAGCUACUAAAGUUAAAAAAAAUGAGAUCUUAUAAAGUGGCAAACUGAUAUUUAAUAAAAAGCCUAAUGCAUAAAACUGCUGAAGUGUUUGAAAAAUACAAAGGGUUUAUGGUAAUAUGUAUCAAAUCACAUCCAGGAUGGAAGUCUUGAAAUGUUAAUAGAAUUGACUACAAAUCCAUAAGAAAUUAACCUUAAGUUUAUAGACAUGGAAAUGAUAAUUGGGUUGAAUCAGCAAAUAUUUAUUUGAGGGUCUCACUAUGCAGCUCUAACUAGCCUGGAACUCACUGUGUAGACCAAGCAGAUUUCAGAAUCAAGAGAGCCCCACCAACAUGCUGAUAUUAAAUGAGUGUGACACAUGCCCAGUUAAAAUCAGGAGAUUUUUGAAACCAGUAUAUUUCAGGUUAUUGGACUGACAUAUACACACUGUCCAUGGAUUAUGGUCAUUUGGUGACUAUGCCAGAGAGCCUGUUUAGGUUUUGAGACCUUAACUGUGAUACUUCCUAGAGGAUAAACUUUGGGUAAAAAUUAUGAGAAAUUAUGUAAUAUGACAAACCAAUCCUCAACUGUAUCUGAACCUACAAAACUUUGAGAAACUAUCUCAUAUGCCUUAGGAUUUAUCAUGCCACAUGACUUUGAAAUAAAUGUCAUUGAUCAUUUAGGUUUAUAUGUGAAAAACUGAUAAAAGAAAAUUAAAUCAAAUGCUUUUAGCAGAAACUAAACGUAUUCUGUCACUGAUGUUUCCAUUGUCAGCCUGUGUAUUGUAGAUCACCCCAAGGAGUUCUGUUCUGAAAUGGUGCCUAAAUUGUAUUAUGAUUCAGGUAAUUCUAGAAAAACAUUUUCCAGAAGCAAAACCAGAAUCACAGGAAUUUCAGAAUUGUUACAGAUAAACCUCACGUUAAACUACAUCUAUCUUAAAAUCAAGAGAAAGAGAUUGUUGGUCAGCCAUCCUCAUAGAGCUAAAACUGGCUGACUUGAUGGGUUCUUUUGUUGGCAACUUAGUGAGAGAAAGCUGCUUAU